CGCGGGGGCCAUGCUAAUCUUCUCUGUAUCAUUCCAAUUUUAGUGUAUGUGCCGCCGAAGUGAGCACUUUGCUGGCGUUUUAAUAGUCACCGAGGAUACAAGCAUCAAGUGAUGAGGAGCGCAGACCAACAAAGCUGUUAGGAGGGUGGCUUCCUGGUAGGAGGCAGCACAGGGGAGCCCUUUUCAACGGUACUUUAUUUCCAUCCCGUUGGCAUCGCCCACAGGGAAGAAUACCUCAGAGCACUGGCCAUGCUGUCUGCAACUCAGUGGGAAGUCCAACAUACCAAGCUUUACAAAGGGAGGCAGAGCGAGGUGCCCCAAAUGAUGGAGAUGCAGGGACUGGUUACUGAGACCACAGGCCGGAACGGGAACCUCACUCCCCAUUCACCAACCUCACAGCCUUGGUUUGCCUCGAUUUCCUCUUUUGUAAAGUGAUGCAUGAAGUGUCUCCCUUUACAAAAGUGGAUGGUGGGCGAGGACCAAGAGGCCCAGCGCCUGGCCAUGGUACGAUGCAGCUGCUGAUAGAGAAGGACAAGUCCUGGUUCUCCUGUCCUCUGGCCAGAGGGGCUGAAGGUGACUUGAGGUCCCAAGGCCGUGGAGCUGGGACAUGGGUUGGCACCCCUCACUGCUGAGAGUACACAAACCCCAUGAGAGCCGCUCUCAGCCACAGACUUAUCCCUGCACCUUCCGUGGGGUGUGUGCCGGGCGUGAGCGCACCAAACCUGCAUCACUCCCCUGGUGUCAGUGACCCGCCCAAGGCCCUGAUUUCCCUAAAGACCCAUGUCUAAGGCCUGAGAUGGAUCCUAAUGUCACAGGCACUGGCUGCAGCAAGCGUCCCACUCCGGAGCGAAUCCUCUGGGGUCUCAUCACACCCUCCCUUCCCCAAAGUCAAGGAAGCCACAGCUGCAGGGCCCACGGUGAGCCUCAGUUAUCUUUGCAGGCGAUCCUGACGCCUUCCUGGGAAACCCUAUGGUUGGAAUAAAAGAUGUUCCAGAAUUUUGUUAUGCCA